AACAAGCAAUUAAUAUGCAUGCCGAGAAAUACUGUCAGAACAACAGCCAAAGAGGAAAUGUGAGCUUAAUGAACCACUAGGCCAAGAUUAAAUGAAUGGAAUGAAAAUAAAUUACAGGAUUUCAAGUCCAUAUUUAUUAAAAAACCCAUAUUUAUUGAUUGAUUUUUAGAGCUUUUUGUCUUUUAUUUGCUUCAGUUUUGGAUCUGUAAUGUUCUUCUAAACAUUUUUUUUUCAUAUUUUAGCACAAAGAUGACUGACUGGGUCGGUUCUUUUUUUGUUUGAGGAGAACAGUGGGGUAAAUGAACAUUUAGCAACCUCUUGGUUCACAUUGAAAAUAACUUAAGGGAUUAAAAGAGGAGUCUUGAGUUUUUUUGGUAGAGGGGAGAUUAUAAAAAAAAAAAUACAGGGAAAUUAUUGAAAAAAAAGUUGAAAAAAAUGUGUGAUGGGUGACACCUGUAGGGUGUGGCUCUUCCAUUAAGGCCCCUUUAAAUAGGAGUGGGCGGGGCUGCCCAGCAGUGCCAGAUUCUUGUGGGUGGCCAGGUUGACUGCGGGCCCACGCUGUUUGUGCAGCAGCUGUGAGCCACUGGGGUAAAUUUGUUUUUUGUUAACCAUGUUUGUUUUUUUAUUAUUGUUUUUUAAAUAUUUUGAAUGUAUGUAUUUUAUGACAGGGCUGCAGUAUCUGAAGGUAGACCUACAGGGUAAAUGACUGAGUGUGGGUCCUCGAUACCACAGUCAUCAUACCGCUACCUGCUGUCCUUCUUAUAUUGUGUUUUUAGUAUUUUUACUCCAGUUAGUCUGCAAGACGCAGACUAACUGCUUUUACAUUUUUUUAUUAUUUUUAUUUGUGGUCACUUCCGGGUCUGUAAUUUCUGUUUGCCAGCCGAUUAGUUUUUAGCAUGUGCAUGUGUGUAUUGUCUGUCAUUUUAUAAGUUUUUACCUUUUUAUCCUUUUAACUGUUUGCAGUGCUCGCAGCAAGUUGCUGCCUUAAAUGCAUGUUUUAUCUCGGCUCAGGACAACAGUUGAACAUUUUAAAGACCAGGAGUGCUGUAACAAUAAAUAUUGUCAAUUUAUUUGAACA